GCUGUGAUGGCCGAGUGGUUAAGGCGUUGGACUCGAAAUCCAAUGGGUAAUGCCCGCGCAGGUUCAAAUCCUGCUCACAGCG
rnacentral:tRNA from 1 species